rfam:Candidate division WS6 bacterium 34_10 MPI_scaffold_8072, whole genome shotgun sequence.
GCCGGAAUGGUGGAAUUGGCAGACACGCGGGACUUAAAAUCCCGUUCUAGCGAUAGAGUGGGGGUUCAAGUCCCCCUUCCGGCA